AUGAAGACAGCCACAAAGCAGGAGCUGUUCAUUGGGGCGGGGAGGUUGACUCAUUUGCUGCUCAUGAAACUUUGCCAUCUAGUUAUAAUCAAACAUGUUAUCGUUAAAUUUAAGCAGAAACCGUUCCUACAAGUUACGUAUUUCUUUUAUGAAUAUUAACAAAAACAAAUGCCUGAAACAUUUAGAAUACUAUACUAAGUAUCUCUAUAAACUGAGAAUCUACAUGCAGAUAGAGAAUCUGUCUCUUCUUUGUAGAGAAUCUGUAGCAGGUAGUCCUGCUUUGGAUAAAACUCAUGUCUGAAAUGAAAGGGAAAACAACCCCAAACCAAACACACACACACCCAACUUUUUCCCAUUUAUACAUACCACAGAUCUUUCAUUAAAACUUAAUUACCUUCCCUUGUCUAUAUUAAAGUUUUUCUUCUACUGAAACUGAUAUAUGGCAAUGUUUUUUUCAGCUAGUGAGCAUGAUUCUCCAGUCUACACCUUUUAUGAUGCCAGCUUUGCUCAAGAAAUGGGCAAAACUAGAACUAGAACAAAACUAGAACUUACUGUCUUUUUUUACAUAAUUUUUUCAUUCAAAGAUUACCACAAAGUAACUCACACUGGUAGUCUCAGGGAGAAAAAUGUCUCUUUGUUUUAUGAAUGUAUUUUUAAGCUGAAUCUCUUUAUCUUUUAAAAGCAGGGGAAAACGUUCAAGUUAUUUGAAUAAGCUUUUAGUUAGCAUAUACAAAGGUCUGAACUUUAAUAUUUCAUCUGAAGCCCUAACUACAUCCUUUUUUCGCUAUAUGCACAAAGGUAAAUACCCAGAUGAAGAUACUUGCUAAUUACAAGGAGUUUUAUAUGUAGUAUAUGUAUAAAUGAAAAAUUUGUAUGUUUUCAUAUAAACAAUAUAAAAUCUUCUAAAUGAACAUUUUAAAACUUAUUAUUUUAAAACUUUAUCUUCUAAUUCAGCUUGAAAACGCCACUGAAAGCUGUACUCUGGUGAUGCUGCCAUGGAUUAAAGAUGUAUACAACAGAAUUUCUGUAGCUGGUGGACUCAACGGGAGGUAUAUGCAACUUUUUAAUUUUAGAAGAAAGCCAUAUUGGACAAAAUGUCAGAUUUCUUGGCUGUUACCCAAAAUAAAAUACACUAGCUCAUUUUGUUAUAAUGUU
rnacentral:lncRNA from 1 species